rnacentral:rRNA from 1 species
AGUGAACGCUGGCGGCAGGCCUAACACAUGCAAGUCGAACGGCAGCACAGUAAGUGCUUGCUCUUACGGGUGGCGAGUGGCGGACGGGUGAGGAAAAUAUCCGAAUCUACUUUUUCGGGGGGCAUAACGCAGGGAAACUUACGCCAAUACCGCAUACGACCUACGGGUGAAAGCAUGGGAUCUUCGGAUCUUGCGCGAUUGAAUGAGCCGGUGUCGGGUUAGCUAGUUGGCGGGGUACAGGCCCACCAAGGCGAGGAUCGGUUGCUGGUCUGAGAGGGUGAUCAGCGACCCGGGAAGGGAGACAGGGUCAAGACUACUACGAGAGGCAGCAGUGGGGAAUGUGGGACAAUGGGCGCGAGCAUGAUCCAGCCAGAGCGCGUGUGUGAAGAAGGCGUUGGGAUUGUAAAGCCCUUUUAGUGGGGAGAAAAGGCAGUAGGUUAAUACCAAGCUGUUGUGACGGUAACAGGAGAAUAAGCACCGGCUAACUACGUG